CUUAGAGUUUGAUCCUGGCUCAAGACGAACGCUGGCGGCGUGCCUAACACAUGCAAGUCGAACGGGGAUAGAUUGAAGGUUUACCUGAUAUCUAUUCUAGUGGCGGACGGGUGAGUAACGCGUGAGCAAUCUGCCUUGUACUGGGGGAUAACGUCAAGAAAUCGGCGCUAAUACCGCAUAAUACUAUUAGAUCGCAUGGUCAUAUAGUCAAAACUCCGGUGGUACAAGAUGAGCUCGCGUCCAAUUAGCUAGUUGGUGAGGUAAUGGCCCACCAAGGCGACGAUUGGUAGCCGAACUGAGAGGUUGAUCGGCCACAUUGGGACUGAGACACGGCCCAGACUCCUACGGGAGGCAGCAGUGGGGAAUAUUGCACAAUGGGCGGAAGCCUGAUGCAGCAACGCCGCGUGAGCGAAGAAGGUCUUCGGAUCGUAAAGCUCUGUCCUGGGGGAAGAAACAAAUGACGGUACCCCGGGAGGAAGCCCCGGCUAACUACGUGCCAGCAGCCGCGGUAAUACGUAGGGGGCGAGCGUUAUCCGGAAUUAUUGGGCGUAAAGAGUACGUAGGUGGUUUGGAAAGCGUGUGGUGAAAUUGCGGGGCUUAACCCCGUCCAGCCAUGCGAACUUUCAGACUUGAGUGCAGGAGAGGGAAGUGGAAUUCCUAGUGUAGCGGUGAAAUGCGUAGAUAUUAGGAGGAACAUCAGUGGCGAAGGCGACUUCCUGGACUGUAACUGACACUGAGGUACGAAAGCGUGGGUAGCAAACAGGAUUAGAUACCCUGGUAGUCCACGCCGUAAACGAUGAGCACUGGGUGUCGGGGUCGCAAGACUUCGGUGCCGCAGUUAACGCAUUAAGUGCUCCGCCUGGGGAGUACGUGCGCAAGGUUGAAACUCAAAGGAAUUGACGGGGGCCCGCACAAGCGGAGGAACAUGUGGUUUAAUUCGAUGAUACGCGAGGAACCUUACCCGGGCUCGAACGGUGCAUGAAUAUACGAGAGAUUGUAUAGUCCUUCGGGACAUGUAUCGAGGUGCUGCAUGGUUGUCGUCAGCUCGUGCCGUGAGGUGUCGGCUUAAGUGCCAUAACGAGCGCAACCCUUGUCAUUAGUUGCCAUCAGGUCAAGCUGGGGACUUUAAUGAGACUGCCACCGUAAGGUGUGAGGAAGGGGGGGAUGACGUCAAAUCAGCACGGCCCUUAUGUCCGGGGCGACACACGUGUUACAAUGGGAGGUACAGAGGGCAGCUAUCCGGUGACGGAAUGCUAAUCUCCAAAACCUUUCUCAGUUCGGAUUGGAGUCUGCAACUCGACUCCAUGAAGGUGGAUUCGCUAGUAAUCGCGCAUCAGCCAUGGCGCGGUGAAUACGUUCCCGGGCCUUGUACACACCGCCCGUCA
rnacentral:rRNA from 1 species